UGGUGUGGGAACAGAGCUAGAUCCUCUACAAGAUCACUGCAUGCUGAGUCAUCUAUCCAGCUUUCCCCCCAGUGCUACAACACCCAAAAAAGAGUUUAUUCUAUUCCCAAUGCCGUCUCACAUAGAUACACAAUGGUCAGAUAGUUCUUGGGCCAUAGUUUCUGAGUUCCAACCUCAAGCUGCCUCUCUCUUGAGAACUGUUUUGAAGACUGGUAACCAAAUUAUGAAUCAAAGAACUUUCAGAGACUGUCUAUAUGACAUGUUUACCCAAUUCCCACUCCAACUCAUACUAUGUCAUAUGCUAUUGUAAACAUUUUCAGUACAUGCUGGGUAUGCAAACCAUGUGGCCGGAGCCAGUCAGUCUAAACAACAGGGGGUGAGAAAAGGAACUUUAUUCCAAUAAUCCAGCUAAUGAGAAACUGGCUUGCAGGCAUUAUCAGUCCUAAAAAAGCCAUCUUGCUGAGAAGUUCAAUUGAUGGCAACUUGUAUAAGGUGAUCAAUGAUUGGUGGCCAUUGUCUCGGGUGCACACUGAUUCUUAAUCACUGCUAUUUUUCAAUACGAGUAUAAAGUUCUUCCAGCAAA
rnacentral:lncRNA from 1 species